rfam:Nitrospira moscoviensis strain NSP M-1, complete genome.
UUGUAGAAGUCAGCCGUCGGUGACGGGGAAGAUGGUGCAAAUCCAUCACGGUGCCGCCACUGUAAGCGGGGAGUGAUCCUGCAAUUGCCACUGUCUGAAGGACAGUGACAGGUGACAAGUGACCAGUGACGAGAGGGGAAUGUGAACUCGUCACGCGUCACGCGCCACGCGUCACUGUCCCUGGAUGGGAAGGCGCAGGAAAACAGCGAUCCGCAAGUCAGGAGACCCAACCGACGGACGUGUCCGAGG